UUUUGUACAUUUUAAUACAUGGCUGUAAGUGGUUGUACAUCACUAGUGCACCACUUUUGCUGUUAAUCAAGGCCUGUGAACAAAUAGUACAGUAACUUGAAGAAUGAGCAUGUAAUGCGAUGCAGAUUCAUGUUACACUCCAGGACUGCCAUGUGAGAGAGUCUGCUAUACCUGGCCAAUGAGAUGAAGUUGUACCACUUCCAUCAGUCCAGACAUUUGUCAAAGAAGUGCAGU